rnacentral:lncRNA from 1 species
UGUUCCCACCGCGGCCUCCUCGCCCCGCCAGGUGUGACAAAGGGCCAUUCGGAGCCGCCCUGCACGCCAUCACCUCUUCACGCUCCAGACUCCUUGCAAACCCACCAGUCCAAGCCCCUCCUGGACCCACCAGCUUCUCUCUGGUUCGUUUUUGUCUUAAUUCAGGGACCUAACUUCUUUGAUGAGGCAUGAAAAAUCCCUGGCAGUCUCUUGUUAUCAGAAGGAAUUCUUUAUCGUCCUUCACCCCAGACCUGAGGCCCAGUGGCCAGCCGCAGAGAUGAGGCCCGUGGGGUUACCUGAGGUGAGGGCCAGGCCCUGGGCCUUUUCCUGACACCUGGUUUCAAAUACCCCCUCCCCGCCGGCAUCUCCUGUCACGUUAGGUGCCUCCCCAGACGACACAGUGCUGGCGAGGGCACGUCCACAGUGUGAUGGGAGUGGCGGGGCCACAGGCAGCCUCGUCCCCCAGACCACGAAGACGGCAACAGACUGUGAUGGGACUUCCUGCAGUCCUGUGAGGCAUGUGUUUGUCUUUCCUCUCCAAACUACACUGUGGAAAUUUUAUUGUUCUCCGAUCGUCCGUGUCUGGGUUGGUUGCACCUACUUAGAUAUCCUGAAAUCGCUCCUAUAAGCAUAUCUAAAAUGGAAAGUUCUUAUUUGCACUGCGAGAACUGGUAAUUCAUUUUUAUUCUAGUAAGACUUUCCAAACUAAAGACACUUUUUUCUUCCCUAUAUAAGUGGUUGCUGUGAUCGUUUUCAUGCCAGCGAUUUGUAUAACAAGAGCCAAUGUUUAAACACUGGGUCUGGGCAGUUGUCUGCAGGCAGGGAUUAAGAAUGUGUGACAAGGGCCCUGAAGAUGUCUCUGCUCUCCUUCUGGGAUGUGAGCGGACGGGCUGGGGUGGAGACCAGUCGUGACAUUUUCCAGGAGGUGCUGCUCGUGGGCGCGGACCGGUGUGUAAGUCCUCCGUGACUGUGGGUUUUAGGGCUGGGUCUUCGUGUGCUGAUCGGUUUAUUUUAAAAAGCGACACUCGAUCAACACAAGGUGGCUGGAGUGGAGGUGCCUCCCAAGGUCGAUUAAAAGAAACCAGCUAUUUAAGGAGGGGAAACAGACAUGUCUCAGGGCUGAUUGUGCAUUCAGAGGCGGGGCUCCCUCGGGGUGUCUCUGGGGCCCCCGCCUUCAACUGGGCUUCUGACGUUCAUCCCAACAAUGGAAACAGUGCCUUUCCAUGAUUAAAAUCUCCCGCCCUCUAACAUUAGUGCCAGGAAAGUAGAACAGCCGUCACCGUGGGGGCCCCACAUCCCAGGACUUACCGCGGAGUCACGGAGGCCCCAGGGCCACAGCGCCAAAGCUAUUUCCUCACUGGUUCUUAGC